GACGAACGCUGGCGGCGUGCUUAACACAUGCAAGUCGAACGGAAAGGCCCUGCUUUUGUGGGGGGCUCGAGUGGCGAACGGGUGAGUAACACGUGAGUAACCUGCCCUUGACUUUGGGAUAACUUCAGGAAACUGGGGCUAAUACCGGAUAGGAGCUCCUGCUGCAUGGGGGGGGUUGGAAAGUUUCGGCGGUUGGGGAUGGACUCGCGGCUUAUCAGCUUGUUGGUGGGGUAGUGGCUUACCAAGGCUUUGACGGGUAGCCGGCCUGAGAGGGUGACCGGCCACAUUGGGACUGAGAUACGGCCCAGACUCCUACGGGAGGCAGCAGUGGGGAAUAUUGCACAAUGGGCGGAAGCCUGAUGCAGCAACGCCGCGUGCGGGAUGACGGCCUUCGGGUUGUAAACCGCUUUCGCCUGUGACGAAGCGUGAGUGACGGUAAUGGGUAAAGAAGCACCGGCUAACUACGUG
rnacentral:rRNA from 1 species